rnacentral:rRNA from 1 species
GAGUUUAAUCUUGGCUCAGGACGAACGCUGGCGGCGCGCUUAACACAUGCAAGUCGUACGGGGCUGUUCCUUCGGGGAUGGUCCAGUGGCGAACGGGUGCGUAACACGUGAGCAACCUGCCUCGGGGUGGGGGAUAACCCGUGGAAACGCGGGCUAAUACCGCAUGACCUCGCCACCUCGAUUGUGGAGGCGAGGAAAGGUGCUGAAAGGCACUGCCUUGAGAGGGGCUCGCGGCGUAUCAGGUAGAUGGUGGGGUAACGGCCUACCAUGCCGACGACGCGUAGCCGAUCUGAGAGGAUGAUCGGCCACAUUGGGACUGAGAUACGGCCCAGACUCCUACGGGAGGCAGCAGUGGGGAAUCUUGCGCAAUGGGCGAAAGCCUGACGCAGCGACGCCGCGUGCGGGAGGAAGCCCCUCGGGGUGUAAACUGCUGUCAGGGGUUAGAAAGUUCUGAUCAACCCCAGAGGAAGGCACGGCUAACUCUGUGCCAGCCGCCGCGGUAAU